rnacentral:lncRNA from 1 species
CAUUCAAUAUCUAAUGUUCAAUUAAUCCAUCAGUAUUUAUUAGGUCCUUAUUAUAUUCUCAGGCACUGCUAGUAGCUGAGUAUCUCUCUUCAAAUAACAAAGCAAUUUAUUCUCUGCAAUAUCUGUAACUUCAUUUAACAAAAUUCAUGCAUUUUAAAUAUUUUUUAUUUCCUUCCUUAGGUAUUAACUAAAUAUUUUAUGAACAUUAUUUCUAAUCUUCCCCAAAUCUCUGCAGAGCAGAAAUUACUACCCUUUUUAAAUAAAUGAGACCUCGAGACUCACAGGCACUGAGUGACAUACCUAAAGUCACAAAUCUAGUAGAGGGAGAGGGGUUUUCCAAACCCAGUUUACUAAACCACAUGCUUAGGGACUGUCAAAACCUUACUAGAAAGUCUUCACAGUCAGGGAAAAGUAUCUAGAAAUGUCACUGACCAGUCUGGAGUUCUCCGUAAUUUAUUCAUUCAAUAUAUUUUUAAUUGGCUUUUGAUUAAAUAAAGAUCUUAGUUUGUAUUUUUUUUUUCUUUUCUUUUUACAGCUGCACCGGAAACAUACGGAAAUUCCCAGACCAGGGGUCAAAUCGGAGCUGCAGUUGAGGCCUAUGCCAGAGCCAUGACAAUACCAGAUCCAAGUUGCAUCUCUGACCCAUGCCACAGCUUGCAGCAAUGCCAGGACCCUUAACCCCCUGAGCAAGGCCAGGGAUCCAACCCACAUCCUCACAGAGACAACAAUGGGUCCUUAACCCACUGAGCCACAAUGGGAACUCCAAAGACCUCAGUUAUUGAUUUUAGACAAUGAAUCAGCAAGGUUAUGGGCUGGACAAGGAAUGGAACUAGAAAAAAGUCAGAGGAAGGAAGAUGAUCUGGGAAUAAAAUCUAGUGCAAGAGACGAUCUGAAGAGAGAUGACCACUGUGAUUCUAGAAUUCAAAAGUUCUCCUUAGUUGAGAAAUUCUCCUUAACUGAUAUUCAAGGUUCUAUGUUAGAUGCUGGGACUACAAUGAUGAAUCCUAGAAGCACACAUGUAAGGAGAUAAUUAUAAAAUAGAGUCAAUACUUUAUCAGAUCCUAAGAGAGGAAAGAAGGCAGCUGGAAACUGCUAAGGUGGAAAAUUAAGAGAAUUAAGCAAAUUAAAUAUAUAAAUACAUCAUGUAUAUGUAACCAAAAUUAAAUUAUAUGUAUUAUACAUAUAUAUGCACAUAUAUAUAAUGAAGGUAUACAAAGGCAGUAUUUACCUUAGGACAGAAAAUUUCUUGAGAGUAGGGGCAAUGUAUUAUACUUUACUAUACAUUUUAGAUUCUAUAUUUAAAUAUAAAUGCAUGCUAUAUAUUAACUAUAUAUUUUAGAUUUAUCCACCAAAAUUAUUUUAUCCCUGAUAAGUGAUCCUUAGGAAAUACUUAAACUAUUUUCUUUGCUGAAUGCCUAAGCGGACAAUUUCUUAUUCCUUCAGCUUUAUUUUAUCUGAGUUUUAAGUUCUUUAUCUAUGUUGAAAUUCUACUCAAGGCCUCUAAUAAUAACCACAAUACUUGUAAAAUCUUUAUUGCUUUAUAGUUUCCAAAGUAUUGUCACAGAACUAUUUUUUUUCCCUUGGAACAGUCUGGGUUCUCAUUUGACAGGUCCCUAGAAGUCAUGGAAGGCUAUGGGACAUCUUUGUGGUCACUCAGGUGGGAAAGGGAUAUUUAAAUCCUGGGCUUAUGAGCCUAGAGCCCCUAACAUUUUACUGACUCUAUGAGAAAGAAUUUAAAGUGAGACACGCAUGUUUCAUAAGCCUAAAUUUUAAAAAAUUUCUUUCACUAUACUGGAGUGCUGUUGGGCUUUGUUAGAUCAUCAGAACUGGAGCUACUCUUUAUCAACUGUGAGUCUUCAGUAGAUUGAAAUAUUAGGUUCCUAGCACAAAUGAACAUCUCCUCAGAAAAGAGCAUCAUUAAUAAGUUUCUUAGAUUAUUAAUCUAAGUUUCAGAAUUUUCCUACUUUGAAAUGCGAAUAACAACUACUUCAGAAGGGCUGCACAGAUGACAUGAGACCACACGAAGGCAUCACUAUCAUCAGAGCAGCAGUCCUUGUGAGUUACGGCAAACCCAGGAAGCGUGAGUAUCAUACAUUUAAUCUGCCCAAGGAAGCAUCGAGGAAGAAAUGGAAAUUAAAUCAGCCUUUACAGGAAGAUAAAUUUUAGGUUGGUCAAAAAGAGAAUUCUAGAGAGAGGCGCAAAACAAGUGCAGACAGGAAAAAGAAUGGCAAAAAUUAAAGGAAAAUUAGAUGACCAUUCUGACCAAGGAAUAUUUAUGUUGAAGAAUCAAGAAGUUAAGGGAAAAGAGUGAAAUGAAAUUAACUGAAGGGGCUUGGAUUCCAGGCUGAGAAAAUGUGACUAUUAAUUUCCCUUCUACCAACGUCUGCAGCAGGGAUAACACAAUAGAAAUGAUGUUUUGGAAGAGAGCUCGAAGAUCAGCACCUGUUUGACAGGAAGAGUUCAGAAUAGGAGGCAGGACAAAGGUUCCUGCAAUCACCACAACAGACGUGAAGUGAUCAGCUUAUCCGAGCGGGAAGCAGAUGAAAUGUCUUCUUCUGUGUCUCCUCAGGUUUUCACAGGAGCUUCAAAAUCCACAUUUCCACAAGCCCUUCAAAUAUGACUUGCAUCUGUAUUCUCUCUCCUUAUCCCACCAGCCAUUUUGUCACCCAAAUAUAGGAACUGUCUGUAACUUUAUAUUAUCCCAUCAUGUCACCCAUUCACACAUAAAAUCCUGUCAGUUCUGCUUGGCAAAUCUUUCCUCCAACCUCAUGGCCACGGCAAAUAUUCACUGGGCAGCUCCUCCGAAGUUGGCCCCAGGAUACGCUGGCAGACGUGUGGUUUACGGUCUAGCACAGAAGCCAGGCACUGAGUCAACGUCUCAAGUGUGACCCUUGCUACAGGGAAGUACCAGGUCCCCUUGCAUAUCACAGGGUUAAAUCCUGAUCUGAAAGGUCAAUGAAGGCUUUUCUAGAGAAGUGAUACUGAAAUUGAAACCUAAAUGAUAAAAAGGAGUUAAGUGAUAAAAGACAAGUAAAAAAAUUCCAGAGAGAAAGAGUAAUGUCUACAAUGAUUGUGAAUUGGUAAAUCAAGCGGCGUGUGUGGGGAAAACAAUUUCUUAAAACGAACAGAUGACCAGUUCUGUGUGCCUUUUGCUGAACUACAAUGGUUUUCUUAUUUUUCUUUUUUUCCUUUCUUUAUUGGACUGCUCUCACUGGGUUUUCACCUUGCUGCUAGAGUGACCUUUCUAAAAUGCAAAGCUCAUUAUGCUACAAAUUCCACGAAGAUUCCCCACAGCCUACUUAGUAAAGGUCAAAUUCCUAGUAUGGUGAUGAGAUCCUUCAGUUUCGUUCACUCUGCCUUCCACUCCCCCCAACCGUAAUUGCCAAUGAUACUAUUUAUAGCUCUUCAAAUAACUCAUGCCGGUUCACCUACUAAUGUCUUUGUCAAAUGCUAUUACCCCGACCUAGAAUGCCUUUGUCUGCUUGGAAAACUCCUACACAUCCUUUAAUGGAAUUCAUAUUCCAUAUUCUCUGAACCAAAGUUUAGCAAACUAUAGUUCUCAUGAGCCAUAAUCUAACCAUCUGCCUAUCAAUGUAUGACCUAUGAGCUAAAAGUGGUUUUCAUAAUUUUUCUAAACUGAAAUAAAAUGAAAAGAAGGAUAUUUUGUGACACGUGAAAAUUAUAUCAAGUUCAAACAUCAAUGGCCAUAAAUGCAGUUUUACUGGACUACAUCUAUGCCCACUUGUUUACAUAUUGUCUAUGGCUGCUCAGUAAAUAUUUAUCAUAUGAAUAAAUGUGAAUGGGGUCAUGGGCUUGGAAGGUGAGAAUGAAUAUGGAUUGUGUUGAGCACUAAACUGACAUGUAAUAUUCACAUCACAAAUUUAUUCUACUUUUCUUCAUGACUUCUUGCUGAAUUUUAAAAAUGUAAUAAAACGCAAAUUCAUUUUCUUUCAAACUCCAGAAAUAUAAGACAGGUGUGACUAAAUAGGAGGAGCCAUACUGCAUAUUAAGGUUACAUCACAAGCUCUAGUAACUAACUAUGAACUUUCAUUAGUUGGAGGACCAUUUCCUGACUUUUAUAGGAACCUUUAUGAGCAGUAUAUUCACACUUGCUAAUGCCGUGGGCCCUUGGGCCAACUUUUCAUCUUUUCUUACCACUGAAUUAUUUGUCUUUUGUACAUGAGGCUGCAUUUAACUUGGCUGAAAAGCAAGAACAGAUAUGAUCACAAUGUAAGAAUUAAAAAUCGUCCCUCUACUUAAAAGAAACACGCACGCACAUGCACACAGGGUUCACAGAGUCCACAGGAAGAUAUUUUUCCUCAACUGUUAAUACAGUGGAGACCCAGCUUUCAUCCAGGAUAUGUCUAGCAUGGAGAUUUAGAACCAGUUGCUCAUUUUCACUGGAAUAUUGGAAUGGGACCUUUAGAAAUCUAUGUCUGUGAAAGAAUCCUGAAGCCUCCUGGGAAUUAAUUUAUUCUGAGAAAAAAGAGAGUCUAGGGAACAAGUUUAAGAUAGCAGCGGAGCUUCGGGGGUCACAGAAGAGAGGUAACUCUGAAAAUAGCAGGGUCUUGGCUCUAACUGUCUGCCAGACCGGCACCACGGAUUCACAGCUAGUCCCUAUUUGUGAAUGUUAAACCUCAAAGGACAGGUUCUCAGGAUCUUGGUACGAUGUCCAGUCACAGGCAGCAUUACCUUAGCUCCUCUUCAAUACAGUGCACAGAAAGGGAAACAAAAGAAAGAAAAAGUGGGAGCAAAGGAAGGAGAAAGCCCGUCUCUUUCAUUUGAUGGCUUUGAGUUUAAAACAGGUUCUUGAUUCAAUGUCAGUGACAGAAGCAUGAGCUGUGGUCCUGACCACAUGGAGAGACACUUGCAGAGGAGUUUAGUGGGAAUAAAGCUAUGCCCAAGACAGAUGAAUUUCGCUAUCUGACUUGUUCCGUUCAAUGAGUCCUUAAAUUUUAAGUCAUAAUUUUUUUUUUUUCCAAAUUCUCCUUUGGGAGAAAGGCAUAUUUAGAAGUAAACCAAAUGUUACUAAAAUUUAAUCACAAAAACAGAUGUACAUCAUAUAUUUUAAAUUAUUCUUAUAUUCUGCACCUCUUAUACCUACUACAGUCAGAAUUCUUUUAAGAGAUAGAAGAGACGUUAGAAAUCAUUACUGGCAUCUCCUUUAUUUUAGAGAUAACGAAGCCAAACAUCAGAGAGGUUAACUACAUUUCCUUUGAUAAAUUAGUGAUAAAACUCAGACUAGAUCCAGGACACUUAAUAUCCUUGUUUGCUCCACUUCUUCCACUCCACUUACUCAAAGAGGAAAAAAAAAAUUAAUGCAGUGAUUGAGAACUCAAAAAUCUAUUCCUUAAUUAAUUAAAUACUUUUUGAGGGCUCACUGCAUAUGAGUGCCAUGCUAGGUUUCGGCAAUAUGAAAUGAGGACCUCACAGUCGUGGUCCCCAAAGACAGACAUGUUGAAGGAGACAGACACAAGCACAAAGAACCUCCAGGCGUCACGAGAAGCCCAGCCCAGCCCAUGAUAACCUGUGAAAUGUGCCUCCGUGUAAAAAGUCAACCUGAACUCUAAGACAGGGAUCCAGGGUUGUCACUCGAAAGAGGUAACAUUUGAGGGUGUCUUGAAAAAUGAAGAGCCUCUCACCAGAUGGUGAAAUUCUAGACCACAGACCCAACAUAGAUCAAGCAUCAAAGGCUCAUUUAAACACCACUGGGGGCCAGGUGAUACGCUGCAUACUGGAAUACAAGAGAAAGAAAGAGAAGGUCUCUGCCUGCAUGUAUCUCUUAUUCUAGUGGGGAUCCGAAGUGGGACGAGCAGGUGAUCGGCCUUUUAGAAGUAUAACACAAAUCGUUGUUAAGGAGGUUUAAUUGGGCACAGAAAGGAUGAGGAAGCUGGGUCCCUUCCUGAGGAAGUGACACUGACGUUAACGCCUGAAAGAGGAUAGGAGAAUUAACUCCCCUAAGUGGAUUACGGAGUAGGAAGAGCAUUAAGAGGCCGUGUCAUGUCUAAUGGCCCUGAAACAAUAAGCAGCUGAGAAUAAAAAUGGGCAGGGUUUGGACAUAAAACAAGAGGGACAGUUCCCUAUGCUAUAGCACAGGGAACCCUACUGAAUACUCUGUGAUAACCUAUGUGGGAAAAGAGUAUGAAAAAGAGCAGGUACGUAUAACUAAAUCGCUUUGUUGUACAACAGAAAUAAACAUAACAUGUGAAUCAACUACAUUUCACAUAAAAUGUUUUAAAAAAUAAAAGAACAAUAGGGACAGAAGUGGCCUAAGAUUGCGCUAGAGAGGUAGGGGGGCCUGGUCGAGGAAGACCUGUGAACAAUUAUCAUUGAAGCCACUGAGGAUUUAAAAGGAGAGGAAUAGGAUGCUCAAAUUUGUAAUCUUAAACAUCACUCUGACUCCAAGGGCAAAGCCACCAGGAAAGACAAGGCACACUCAGGAAUGGAAGAUAAUUUUGUAAGUCUAGAGUUUAGGGCCUGAGGCAGAGUCUCAGGAGAUGGCAGAUGCUGAAGGACAUUCCCUUCUGUCUCAGGGUAGGACUUGUGCCUUUUAACCAGCAGACUACAGGCACAGAUUAAUGAUUUAUAGACAGAAGAAUAAAAUAUUCAGACCACAAGAAUCAUGACAAAAAGACUCAAAUAUAUCCAGGACAUUGUAGUUACCAGUAUAGAUAACAGAUUGACAGAUCUUAGAAGUAUUUUACUUAGGUUGG